rnacentral:sRNA from 1 species
UACCAGGGAGUGGAUUUCCCGUUUUGGA